UGGCGGCGAUAGCGCGGUGGUCCCACCUGACCCCAUGCCGAACUCAGAAGUGAAACGCCGUAGCGCCGAUGGUAGUGUGGGGCUUCCCCAUGCGAGAGUAGGGAACUGCCA
rnacentral:rRNA from 1 species